rnacentral:lncRNA from 1 species
UGGCCGUGCCAGGCGUGCACAUGUCCCUGCCAGGCGUGCACACGGGCGUGUGUGCCUGAACCGGAGAUGUAGAUGUAUAUAUGGGGCUUGAUUUAUAUCUAAUGGCACGUAUAAAGCUUUUGAAGGUGGCUGCAAUGUAAAAAGUAAUGACUUUAUUACCCCUGAAAGGUUCUGCGGUUCGCAGUUAACACUCCUCUGAAUUACAAUUCAUUACGCUCUCCAAAGCCAACCUGCAUCAGAACACCUACCUGUGCUUAUUCCCAAUCACAGGCAUCGUUCAUUCUAAAAAUCAUAGCAAAUUAAGCACUUGGUGACAACUAAAUCUGUUUCAUUAUCGUGCCGUGUUUGAGAUUCCAGAGGUGACUUCCCAGAUCGCAUCUCAAAACCUACAGUCAGGAGCUAAUUUUACAGAUGCUUUCAUGAAUGGCAGCGAGGAUGUUCUUACCAUCAGCAUGCCCUUAAUUCCAGCACCGUAAAAAUGCCUCGAUUUAAAUGGAAACUCGCUGCCUUAAAAAUAAUAUUUCAUCCUGGCUGGAUAAUUAUUAAUAUUAGCAUUUGAUCGCAAAAGUGCUGGCUCCCCCUCGUUCCUGUACCCCCCCACCCCACCCCACAGCGCUUCGCAUUGUCAUGUGAUUGGAGGGAGAUAACAAAUCUCAAGAAAGAAAAGGAGUGAGAAGACAUUUUUAACACGGCAUGACCGCAGAUUAAUAAUGCAGGGUAUGAAUUUGGUACUUCUAGCUCUUGUGAAGCUCCCUACUCAAUGGAAUAUGUAUGGAUACUCCAGAUUCUCUCCCUGCCCUCUUCAAACUUAGAAAAGCAGGGCCACUGGAACAGCCUCAAGAGCCAAAUGCUAUCUCUGAUUCAUCAGCACACAUCGUGCACAAGAGCAAGAGGUGGUUUCGUAAGAUACCUGGAACAAAAAGUCUUUAUCAUUUUAGAUCAGAAUUUGUUUACCAGGGACAUUAUUUAACCUAAGGAAGACGGGCAGAAAUCUGAAAAUCUGCCUUUAAUUCACUCUGUUAUGAUCUGUAUUAUUGUUCUUGCAGUUCUCUUUUUAGGUGAUUUUACUGUAGGCAGGCUUGAGCAACACAGGAUGAGCUACUUUGUGGAGAGUUGAAUCCUAAGGUCUGGAUUCUUGAUUUUAAUUUUGGUGCUUCCCAACCAGAUGCACCCAUUUUUUUUUUUUCCUUUUGAAAUGCACUACUUGACAAAUGUAAAAUAAGCACUGAAACCAGAUGUACAUUGUAUUGUACCCAAGGAAUACUUACAGUACCUGAGAAAGAGCGCUGUGUGGAGGGUUUUUUUGUUUAGUUUGGUUGUUACCAUAGUACAUCAAUUAUUUUGUGCUAUUUUAUAUCAUUUUACCUUCAUGCUUUGGCAUACAAUAAAACCAGUAUCUGUUCAUAUUCUCA